UCCAGACUCCUACGGGAGGCAGCAGUGGGGGAUAUUGCACAAUGGGGGAAACCCUGAUGCAGCGACGCCGCGUGGGUGAAGAAGUAUUUCGGUAUGUAAAGCCCUCUCAGCAGGGAAGAAAGAAGACGGUACCUGGCUAAGAAGCCCCGGCUAACUACGUGCCAGCAGCCGCGGUAAUACGUAGGGGGCGAGCGUUAUCCGGAUUCACUGGGUGUAAAGGGAGCGUAGACGGCCGUGCAAGCCAGGAGUGAAAGCCCGGGGCCCAACCCCGGGACUGCUCUUGGAACUGUGCGGCUGGAGUGCGGGAGGGGCAGGCGGAAUUCCUGGUGUAGCGGUGAAAUGCGUAGAUAUCAGGAGGAACACCGGCGGCGAAGGCGGCCUGCUGGACCGCGACUGACGUUGAGGCUCGAAAGCGUGGGGAGCGAACAGGAUUAGAUACCCUAGUAACC
rnacentral:rRNA from 1 species